rnacentral:tRNA from 1 species
GGAGCAGUACUCAAGCUGGUUAAGAGGCCUCACUGCUAACGAGGUAGUUGCUAACGCAUUCGCAGGUUCGAAUCCUGUCUGCUCCGCCA